rnacentral:snoRNA from 1 species
AUGAUGAUCAAACAGGGACUUAAUACUGAUCAUGUAUGAUGUCACCAUUUCAAACAUCUGA